CAGCAGCCGCGGUAAUACGAAGGGUGCAAGCGUUAAUCGGAAUUACUGGGCGUAAAGCGCGCGUAGGUGGUUCAUUAAGUUGGAUGUGAAAUCCCUGAGCUUAACUUAGGAAUUGCAUUCGAUACUGGGAAGCUAGAGUAUGGGAGAGGAUGGUAGAAUUCCAGGUGUAGCGGUGAAAUGCGUAGAGAUCUGGAGGAAUACCGAUGGCGAAGGCAGCCAUCUGGCCUAAUACUGACGCUGAGGUACGAAAGCAUGGGGAGCAAACAGGAUUAGAUACCCCAGUAGUCCCUGUCUCUUAUAC
rnacentral:rRNA from 1 species